rnacentral:lncRNA from 1 species
AUAGGUAUGACGACGGCUAAAACACAUAAUUCGAUGCAAUAAAAAUAAAUGCAAAAAAAAGGAGCACACUGAGAUUUACGUGGAAAAAACUCCAACUAGGAGUAAAAAAUCCACGGGACCAAUACACAAUAACAAUCCACUAAAAAAUAAAAGAUUAUAAGGUGAUUACCGACUCCACGAACUCAAACCUCUCUUUUAUCUUCU